rnacentral:rRNA from 1 species
UUACGGUCAAAUCACGCUGAAAACACCGGUUCUCGUUCGAUCACCGAAGUUAGGCAUCGUAGAGCCAAGUCAGUACUUAGAUGGGGGACCGCUUGGGAACACCUGGUACUGUAAG